CAGAUUAAAACAUUUAUUCCUGAUGUCUCUCACUUACAAUGAGAAAAAGAUAACUUAUCUAAUCUGA
rnacentral:tRNA from 1 species